rnacentral:rRNA from 1 species
UGGGUAACCUGCCUCAAUGAGGGGAAUAGCCUCCCGAAAGGGAGAUUAAUACCGCAUAAUAUGUUUAGAUCGCAUGAUCUUAACAUCAAAGGAAUUUCUUCGGAGAUUCCACUUUGAGGUGGACCCGCGGCGCAUUAGCUAGUUGGUGAGGUAACGGCUCACCAAGACAACGAUGCGUAGCCGACCUGAGAGGGUGAUCGGCCACAUUGGAACUGAGACACGGUCCAGACUCCG